rnacentral:lncRNA from 1 species
CUUAAUGCUCCAAUAUAGGGAGCAUACUGAGUGGCGCACUUUUCUCACAAGCUCCCAGCCGGUCCGCUCUUUUCUUCAGCAAUUUUCUGGUCCGCUGAUAGUCAGCCAGCGAGACACCCAGCCGCUGGUGAUCGUUUCUCAAAUCUUUAUCGUGCUUAUUAGUUAACAAUUGAAAUUUGCGCCGUGUGCACUAUCAAAAUUUCUGCGCUUAAUAAUACCUUUCGUGCGCGCCACUUGACACCGUGUUAUGACUCUACCUGACCAACUGUCUGAGUGACGUUUGUAGUGACACUUGAAUACGCGAGUGAGAGCGUGCUAGUGCUGUGUUGAUUUUUGUAAUAAAUGACACACUUUUCGUCAUAUAUACCAAUAAAGAAACGGCGCAAAUUGUAGGACCGCCGCUCGAAGCCACCCACAGUGGUCCGCGCCCAACUUGGCGUCGAAAGUCAAAAUUGUUGUUGUAAAAACCAGCAUUUAGAAUUGCGAACGCGUCGUGUAAACUUUGCUGUUUAUUUAUUGUUUAUAUGAGCGCUACGAGUUGCCUGGGUUUUUCACUACCCACUGUUAUUGUUAUUGUUAGUGUUUGCUGGGCGUGCAACGUUGUGCGAAUGACGCAAUGUUUCACUGUAAAAAUACACAAAAUUUCCGAAGAAAAUUGUUCUAAAUUUUGAAUGCAAGUGCAAUAGAAAACCAAAAAUAAUAUAUACAUAUGUAUAUAUAUGUACAUAUAUAUAUAAAGAAGCAAAUAUCAGUUGGAAAAGUGUUAUGCAAGGUAAAAUGCAUAAAAAAAACUUCAAAAGUGAAGUGAAAAAUGAGAAAAAAUAAUAAUAAAUUAAUUAUAAAAAAAUUUAAUUAAUUUAA